rnacentral:rRNA from 1 species
AUCUUUAACAGGUAUAUAGGGUACCUAGACGGUGUGCAAAGGCUUAUAAAUCAGUACCUUUUACACUUGAGUUUGAUAUGGGAGAGGUAUAUACCAGAAUUGUUGGUGGAGAGAUGAAAUUUUUUAAUACCUUCAGGACUGAUAACGGCGAAGGCAAACCUCUAUCUACAAAAUGGCAAAAACUAAAUAUAGGUCUAGACUUUAAUUAAAAAAGGAAAGAACAGGGAAGAAAAAUAAGGCGCCCUAAAGUGGAUGUUUUUGUAAAAAAAAUUUGUGUACUGAGUCAGUCACACUUACCAUUUUUUAACUGACGUUGAGGGACGAAGGCUCAGAACAGUAAAAAGGAUUAGAUACCCUUGUAAUCUGGGCAGACAAUGAUGAGUGCCAUAGGUUCGCUUUAGGCGGGACUAUAAAUGAAAGUGUAAGCACUUCACCUCAAGAGUAAUGUGGCAACGCAGGAACUGAAAUCAUUAGACCGUUUCUGAAACCAGUAGUGAAGUAUGUUAUUUAAUUCGAUGAUCCUCGAAUAACCUUACCACAACUUGAAUGAACUAAAUUAUUUUGAAUUUUUAAAUUUUUAGACCACAUGCGUUGCAUGGCUGUCUUCAGUUGAUGUCGUGAGACUUUGGUUAGGUCCAUAAAAUUAACGUAAACCCUUGUUUUA